AUGUCGCAACAGACGUGCUCGUGUGCCGACCGCAAUUGCUUCCAUGGCGGCUGUGCUUGUUUCACAAAUGAAGGGGUCUGCUCUAAGGACUGCAAGUGCCGUGCUAAGUGCAAGAACAUCUUGGGAAAUGAGAAGACGAUCACAAAGCAAUUCGCUGAAUACAACCAAGCUGCCGCUGCCCAGCCUGCUUCUGACCAAGCUGCCGCUCAACCUCAACCUAAGCCAUUGCCAGAACUAGAACCAGGGUCUGCGCGACAGCCGUGCCACUGUGCCUCGUCCAAGUGCCAAAACUUCUACUGCAGAUGUGUCAGGGCUAACUUGCCUUGUUUUGAGCGCUGCGACUGCAAGGACUGCGGUAACACCAAGACCCAUGAGGAGAAGCUCCAGGAUCUAGGGAUCAAGGUUGAGGAUCUUGCUUCAGGUUCGACCGUGAUGACUCGUGGGAAGGCGCAGGCUGCCAAGGAGUCUGCCGUUGGGUGUAAAUGCCAAACCGAAUGCGCCAGUCGCUGCGGUUGCGUGAGGCGUAACAUCAAGUGCACCUCCAAAUGCAAGUGCCAAGUGUGCGGCAAUGACGACGGGAGCAGAUUUCCAGCCAAUAAGUCCAAGGCUGGAUCUGGAGGUCAAGGAGGUACCAGAAGCAGCAGCAGGGCCGUCGAACCGGCGGGCAAACGGCCAAAACACGGGUGA
rnacentral:rRNA from 1 species